AGGAUGAGAAGCUUCGACCAAGGUUCGACUCGAGCGAAGCGAGAGAACGUUGCCGCAGGCAACGGCCCGAAGGGCGAGGCGCUUUAGCGCCGAGUAAUCCUUCCCCCACCACCA
rnacentral:sRNA from 1 species